UUGCGGGCCUCCUGAAACCUGUUGACGACAGUGCUGACUGCGUCGCCGAACAGGCCAGAAGGCUGGAUUGGGGCGUCCAUAAGGCAGACCCUGUCCCGCUCUUUCUAUUCGGACAGGGCAGCCAUAAGUGUCUCUCCGCGGCCACCAUAGCUGCCAUGGACUGCCCAAUCGCUCGGGCGGUCUCUUUGGUGGCGCGGAGGGAGAGAUCAGCGGUCCUUCUUAACUCUGAAAUGUCGUGGGACUUGAUCUCCUCUCCCUCGUCUAGCUCCUUAAGCAGGUCGGCUUGGUACACCUGUAACACCGCCAUGGUGUGCAGACACGCACCAGCCUGACCUGCUGCCGCAUACCCUUUGCCCACCAAAGCCGAUGUUGUUCUAAGCCGCUUGGAGGGCAAUGCCGGGGCCUUCAGAGACGAUGCAGUACCGGGGGACAGAUAGCUCGCGAGCGUCUGUUCCACCCGAGGCAUCGUUCUGUAGCCGUGCUCUCCCAUCCCCACCACAUUGCCUUAGUAAUCUGACGAGGGGAUGUAGAGGCGGGCUGAAAACGGGCGUUUCCACGAUCUAGCGAUCUCUUCAUGCAGAUCGGGAAAAAACGGAAGGCCCCGGCUAGGAGGUGGUUGACUCAGAAAGUGUUCAUCAAGCUUGCUUUUCUGUGGUUCAGUCGUUUUCUCGGCGGGCCAAUCGAUGCUUCAUUUGGCCACCACGCGAGUCACCACCUCUAAGAGCUCCUCAUACCGUGGCGAGUGGGGUGGCGAAUCCCUAUCGACAGAUUCCACAUCAACCUCCGAUCGUUUUCAGGAUCGUUUAGGUUCAUUAGUUAAUUUCAAAGAAAUAAUCAUUUUAAAAAGUCUGCAAAAACUAUGAAUUAGUAGCUCAAGACAGGAUUGAUAAAGCACGCUAAAUGUAACCCUUGAAAACAAGGUUCAACAGCUGGUAAGGAAAGCGAUUUGCCUCCAGGACAUGGAAAUUGAACAAACACAGAAACUUAUGAGUGAACGUGUGAACAACAAACAUGCUAUUUCAGAAGUGAGUAAAUCCUCUACAUUUUAAAAAGUUACAAUUAUUUUCAUUUUGUUUUACUGCUAAAGUGGCCCAGAACAAAACAAGUUAGAGAACCACUGAUCAAAAAAGGUAUACUUUUCUAUCUUAUCUAUCAUCAAAUAGUGCAUAUUAUCAUAUUAAGAGACAGAAAUGCACCCUUUAGGUGUGAAUAAGGCACAAAUGUUUACUUUUCAGGAAACUGCCUUAGUGACAUUUGUUCCACAUUUUUAUCUGACAGGGUUUAGUACCCAAUACCCAGCGCUAUCAUUAUGAAUCAGAUAGAAGAUAGAGAGGUUGAAUGUGUGUGCAUUGUUUUUACAGAAGUAAUCAGCGAAACAGGAUGAGUAGUAGACUCUGGCGGGACAGUCGUACGAUUCACCCUCUAACUCCGUGCAGAUGAAUGGCCGCCACACUCUGCCAGCAAUUGGAUUAUAUGGAGAGCUUUCUCCUCAAUGAGUGCUUUGGUAAUGCAAUCUGCUUACACUGCCCACUGCGAGGAUGAGCAGAGCGAGCAAAAUGCCGUGGCACCAAGCAUACGUCCCUUUCUGAUGUGACGGAUGACUUUGAUAGCAUAGUGCCUUUGGAGACAGGCACUCCCUCACAUGACAGCAGGGAUUUACACAAGCUUCAGUCUGGAUCCAGAACACCUGAAAAGAGAUGAUGCCAACCCCUCAGAUGACCUCAGAUGAAACAACAUACAGAACUACCAAAUUUUGCCAUAAGUUUGAAUGCAACAUAUAAUAAUUGCUAAUAAUAUAAUAAUUAUAAAAACUUAAUAAUUGCUAUAAAAAUUAAAUUAAUUGAUUUUUUUCCAUACAUUUCUGCCAUAUGUACAUUAUCUGACAGUCACCACUGAUAAGC
ensembl:lncRNA